CUUUCCCUCUUUCUUCAUGCCUUACACAUGCAAGUCGAACGGCUGCACGGGUGCUGGCACCUGGUGGCGAGUGGCGAACGUGUGUGUAAUACAUCGGACCAUGUCCUCUAGUGGGGGUUAGCCCGGCGAAAGCCGGAUUAAUACCGCAUACGAGCCACGGCUGCAAGCGAGAGACCUUCGGGCCUCGCGCUAUAGGGUUGGCCGAUGGCUGAUUAGCUAGUUGGUGGGGUAAAGGCCUACCAAGGCGACGAUCAGUAGCUGGUCUGAGAGGACGACCAGCCACACUGGGACUGAGACACGGCCCAGACUCCUACGGGAGGCAGCAGUGGGGAAUUUUGGACAAUGGGCGAAAGCCUGAUCCAGCAAUGCCGCGUGUGUGAAGAAGGCCUUCGGGUUGUAAAGCACUUUUGUCCGGAAAGAAAUCCUUGGCUCUAAUACAGUCGGGGGAUGACGGUACCGGAAGAAUAAGCACCGGCUAACUACGUG
rnacentral:rRNA from 1 species